ensembl:lncRNA LINC01046 long intergenic non-protein coding RNA 1046
CAUGGUAGAGCAAGACAGCAAUAAGCUCUUCCACUCUGCUCUCUGGGGCUGCCACUUGGCUGAGGAGGGGACAUGUUACACCUGGGCCAAAUCAUCCUGGGUCUCCCACUCAAAGCGCCACUCUCAUGUCUGCAGCGGCCUGUGCAAAUAUGCAAAGCCCCCUUUGAAAGCUCUGUGGUGCUGCUUAGCGGUGUUCUUUGCACCUUGAACAAUGCUCACUCACAUGCAAGACCUGCCCAUGGACAUACCAGGAUUAGCAAAGCAAUCCACGGUCCUGAAUUUCUGUGGGUGCCUGCAUUUGCUAUGCUACAAGGGGAAGAGAUUGUCAUUUACAGUGAAAAAUAAAGGUGGUGUUAAUUAAAUUUAUUUUCCUGAGUGCCGACGUCUCCAGACCUCUAUUCCUUUUGUAAGAAAGCUUAUCAGAUGGAAUGAUCACAAUGGCGACGGUGAAAGUUCUACAGGUACGCUUUUUGUACACUCCAUUUUAGAUACAGGAUGAAGAUGGGGAUAAUGAAAAACAAAAGUCCUGCCAGCACUAACAUUGUCAAGCCGUGAUAUCGGCACUUAAAACAACCGUUUGUGAGAGAAAACCUGGUAUCUGGCUUCUGACGUUUCAGUACAAUCUUCUAUUGUGCAUCUGGAUGACAUCACUGUUGUGUCCUUUGCAGAGAUGUGCAUACAGGGCCCUAACUGUCCAGGAGCUGCUACGGACAGAGCCCGGUAAUCCCGACGACUUAGUGGAUCCUGUGCCUCCCAAGGGUGGCGCCCACGGUGACUGCACACUUGUCACAGACUGGCAGGCCAUUUGUCUGCUGCAGCCCACCAAAUCCCACAGAUCCUUUUGGAUCCUUUGCAGCAGGCUUUUCAUACCUUGAGUCUUACUUAAUGUUCACAUGAAAAAGCAACUGCUGUUUGCUGUGCUCAUAAAAGUCUUGUUAGAAAUUAACACCUUGUGUGAAUAAAAACAUCAAGUAAGUA